UGCCCCACAGUUCCCUGCCCGGGAACAAGGAGCUGGUAUCAGGCACACCCUCGAGCCCAUGACACCUUGCUUAGCCACACCCCCAAGGGAACUCAGCAGUGAUAGACAUUAAGCCAUAAGUGAAAACUUGACUUAGUUAAGGUUAAGAGGGCCGGUAAAACUCGUGCCAGCCACCGCGGUUAUACGAGAGACCCAAGUUGAUAGCCACCGGCGUAAAGCGUGGUUAAGUUAAAACUCAUACUAAAGUCAAACAUCUUCAAGACUGUUAUACGUAACCGAAGAUAGGAAGUCCAACCACGAAAGUGAUUUUACUUGAUCUGAACCCACGAAAGCUAAGGAACAAACUGGGAUUAGAUACCCCACUAUGCCUAGCCCUAAACAUUGAUAGUACUACACACCCACUAUCCGCCCGGGAACUACGAGCAAUAGCUUAAAACCCAAAGGACUUGGCGGUGCUUUAGAUCCACCUAGAGGAGCCUGUUCUAGAACCGAUAACCCCCGUUCAACCUCACCCUUCCUUGUUUAUCCCGCCUAUAUACCGCCGUCGUCAGCUUACCCUGUGAAGGUUGAAUAGUAAGCAAGACUGGUACAGGCCCAAAACGUCAGGUCGAGGUGUAGCGUAUGGAAGGGGAAGAAAUGGGCUACAUUCGCUACUACAGCGAACAACGAAAGAUGAACUGAAACAUCCAUCUGAAGGAGGAUUUAGUAGUAAGCAG
rnacentral:rRNA from 1 species